rnacentral:rRNA from 1 species
CCUACGGGAGGCAGCAGUGAGGAAUAUUGGUCAAUGGACGAGAGUCUGAACCAGCCAAGUAGCGUGAAGGAUGACUGCCCUAUGGGUUGUAAACUUCUUUUAUAUGGGAAUAAAAUGUUCCACGUGUGGGAUUUUGUAUGUACCAUAUGAAUAAGGAUCGGCUAACUCCGGGCCAGCAGCCGCGGUAAUACGGAGGGUCGGAGCGUUAUCCGGAUUUAUUGGGUUUAAAGGGAGCGUAGGUGGAUUGUUAAGUCAGUUGUGAAAGUUUGCGGAUCAACCGUAAAAUUGCAGUUGAAACUGGCAGUCUUGAGUACAGUAGAGGUGGGCGGAAUUCGUGGUGUAGCGGUGAAAUGCUUAGAUAUCACGAAGAACUCCGAUUGCGAAGGCAGUUCACUGGACUGCAACUGACACUGAGGCUCGAAAGUGUGGGUAUCAAACAGGAUUAGAUACCCCUGUAGUC